rnacentral:rRNA from 1 species
UACGUAAGGAGCAAGCGUUGUCCGGAUUUACUGGGCGUAAAGAGCUCGUAGGUGGUUUGUCGCGUCGUCUGUGAAAUUCCGGGGCUUAACCUCGGGCGUGCAGGCGAUACGGGCAAUACUUGAGUGCUGUAGGGGAGACUGGAAUUCCUGGUGUAGCGGUGAAAUGCGCAGAUAUCAGGAGGAACACCGAUGGCGAAGGCAGGUCUCUGGGCAGUAACUGACGCUGAGGAGCGAAAGCAUGGGUAGCGAACAGGAUUAGA